rnacentral:rRNA from 1 species
GACGAACGCUGGCGGCGUGCUUAACACAUGCAAGUCGAACGAUGAAGCCGGAGCUUGCUCUGGUGAAUUAGUGGCGAACGGGUGAGUAACACGUGAGUAACCUGCCCUUGACUCUGGGAUAACUGCUAGAAAUGGUAGCUAAUACCGGAUACGACCCUCGGAGGCAUCUCCAGGGGGUGGAAAGAAUUUCGGUCAAGGAUGGACUCGCGGCCUAUCAGCUAGUUGGUGAAGUAACGGCUCACCAAGGCGACGACGGGUAGCCGGCCUGAGAGGGUGCCCGGCCACACUGGGACUGAGACACUGCCCAGACUCCUACGGGAGGCAGCAGUGGGGAAUAUUGCACAAUGGGCGCAAGCCUGAUGCAGCAACGCCGCGUGAGGGAUGACGGCCUUCGGGUUGUAAACCUCUUUUAGUAGGGAAGAAGCGAAAGUGACGGUACCUGCAGAAAAAGCACCGGCUAACUACGUGCCAGCCGCCGCGGUAA